GUGGGGAAUCUUCCGCAAUGGACGAAAGUCUGACGGAGCAACGCCGCGUGAGUGAAGAAGGUUUUCGGAUCGUAAAGCUCUUUCGUUAGGGACGAACGUGCUCUUUGUGAAUAAUGAGGAGUAAUGACGGUACCUAAAUAAGAAGCCACGGCUAACUACGUGCCAGCAGCCGCGGUAAUACGUAGGUGGCAAGCGUUGUCCGGAAUUAUUGGGCGAAAAGCGCGCGCAGGCGGGAUAUCAAGUCUGUCUUAAAAGUGCGAGGCUCAACCUCGUGAGGGGACAGAAACUGGUAUUCUUGGGUGUCGGAGAGGAAAGUGGAAUUCCAAGUGUAGCGGUGAAAUGCGUAGAGAUUUGGAAGAACACCAGUGGCGAAGGCGACUUUCUGGACGAUGUCUGACGCUGAGGCGCGAAAGCUAGGGGAGCGAACGGGAUUAGAUACCCGGGUAGUCC
rnacentral:rRNA from 1 species